rnacentral:rRNA from 1 species
GACGAGGGACCUAGCGUUGUUCGGAACCAUUGGGCGUAAAGAGUAUGUAGGCGGCCUUGUAAGUCAGUUGUGAAAGCCCCGGGCUCAACCCGGGAAGUGCAAUUGAUACUGCUUGGCUUGAAUGUGGAAGAGGGCAGUAGAAUUCCUGGUGUAGUGGUGAAAUACGUAGAUAUCAGGAGGAAUACCGGUGGCGAAGGCGGCUGCCUGGUCCUACAUUGACGCUGAGAUACGAAAGCGUGGGGAGCAAACAGG